rnacentral:rRNA from 1 species
GACGAACGCUGGCGGCGUGCUUAACACAUGCAAGUCGAACGGAAAGGCCCUGCUUUUGUGGGGUGCUCGAGUGGCGAACGGGUGAGUAACACGUGAGUAACCUGCCCUUGACUUUGGGAUAACUUCAGGAAACUGGGGCUAAUACCGGAUAGGAGCUCCUGCUGCAUGGUGGGGGUUGGAAAGUUUCGGCGGUUGGGGAUGGACUCGCGGCUUAUCAGCUUGUUGGUGGGGUAGUGGCUUACCAAGGCUUUGACGGGUAGCCGGCCUGAGAGGGUGACCGGCCACAUUGGGACUGAGGAUCGGCCCGGACUCCUACGGGAAGCAGAAGGGGGGAAUAGUGCACAAUGGGCGGGAGCCUGAUGCAGCAACGCCGGGUGCGGGAUGACGGCCUUCGGGUUGUAAACCGCUUUCGCCUGUGACGAAGCGUGAGUGACGGUAAUGGGUAAAGAAGCACCGGCUAACUACGUG